CCUAGCCACAUGACUAUGUAUAUUCUUAAGGGAUGCACUACAAACACUUUUAUGUAGGCUGCGUAGCAGUAAUAGCAGUAGAAGUAGCAUUUAAAUCUCUGCUAAGGGAUUUGUCCUCAUCUUCUUAACAAGUUAUUUACUAUUAUUGCUCCCAUUUUGCAGAUGAGGAAACAGAGGGUUAGACCAGAGAAUUGGAUAUUCUUAUUAUAAAUAUACCUAGAAUAUCAAUUUUAAAAGAACUAAGGUAUUAUAAAAUUCCUUAUAUACUAAAAUUAAACUAAAUGUGAUUUAAUUCCUUUAUGCUUGAAGUCUCAUUUAGUGGAGCUGGGGCUCUCAUUCAAACUUCAGUUAUCCAAAGAUGAAAAUAAGCAUUGAUAAGCUAAUUAAAUUACUUCUGAAAAAGCUUUAAUUUCUUAGCAAGGCUCCAAAAAAAUUUGUGUCAUAUAUUGAUAUGUCAAGUACUUUUCAUAAAGAGAGUUUGUAUACAAUAUAUUUUGCACCCUCAAUUUAUAAUAGUUUAAAAAAAGUAUUUUUUAUUAAUACUACAAAAAUAUAUGGAUUGUGAUUUCAAAAUGAAGCAAUAAUAAUGGUAUAAUUCACUAAUUGAUAAUGAUGCUUUAUGCUAUACAAUUUAAUUCAACAUCACAUAAUUUUAGAGCUAAAAGGAAUUUUAGAGAUGAUUUUGUCUAAAUCCUUUAAUUUUAUAGAUGAGGAAAUAAGGUCAGGUAUGGUUACAAAAUUUGCCCAAGUUCACAUUCAAGUUUUCUGAUUAUUAUGAUGUUCUUUCUCUUAAGCAAACAACAACAGAAGGAAUAACAAGCAAAUAAUCACAAAAACUCUCUAACAGUCAGGAAUGAAUGACUAAUGGAAACAUAUCAACGCUUUUAAUGCAAGGGCUGUCAGCAGCAGGGAAGACAGCAUUCCUGAAGAAGGAGAGAUGGCCUCCUCCCAGUGGAGAUCUACUCAGCAGAUCUACUGGGUCCUGGGCUACCAUCUGCUCAAGAUCCCUGCCAGCAAGUCCCAGUUCAGGACUGUCUUCUAGACAGUGCUCCAAAAGAUAAGGUAACUCUGUCUAUUCCUGAGGACAAUUAGCAACAUGAAAAAUUCUCUUUGAAGUAAGAAAUUAGAUUACAUUUUAAUUUUUCAUUGCUUACUUUUUCUACUUUCUAUUGUUUUUUUCU